UGUGUGUGUGUGUGUGUGUGUGUGUGUGUGUGUGUGUGUGUGUGUGUGUGUGUGUGUGUAUGUGUGUGUGUGCGUUUAUCAUUGUGUAUGUGUAACAGGAAAUGUGUUGCGGGUUUGUGCUGCUCUGACAGGAAAUGCUUAACCAAUCAUCAAUCUCUGUAAGAGAGCGUGUCCAGUGUGUGAAACUCUUCUCUGUGUCUCAGUCUCUGGUCUCUGCUGCAGGAACCUGUAGAGGAACCAUUUUACCUCCAGUUUCAGGGCCAGAACUUACAGCUCAGGGUUACGGUGGAAUUUCAUACAGUGCUGGGCGUGGCAGAGGAAGAGGGCGGGGUCAAAGAUUUAACAAUAAAGGCUCAACUUUUAAAGGUCGGACAUGUAACAUUGCUGAUCCAGCUCACAAGAGGCUGUUCACACACACACACACACACACACACACACACACACACACACACACACACACACACACACACACAAACACACACACAAACACACACACACACACACAGGUUUGGUUUUCACACUUUAUUUCAUUGUGCAUGUGUAUCACAAAACAGAUCAGAGUGAUGUAUUAAAUCUUCAGAAGCAGAAGGACAGUCAGGUGAACACGGACCUGAAGGGAAUUUAAUAAUAACUGUGUUAUAGAUGUAUUAGAGGGUUAGAAACGUCCCAGUAGUUUAUUAUUCAUCUGUAAUAAUAAUAAUAAUAAUAAUAAUAAUAAUAAUAAUAAUAAUAAUAAUAAUAAUAAUAAUAAUGGUGUUACAUUAGAACAGUGACAUUAGAUUAAAGUGCAAUAGAAUUAAACCUACAUUUCAAAAUAAUAGCUGCAUGAAAAUUUUAUAUAUAAAUCAGAAUUUCAGGGCAAUGCAUUAUGGGGUUUCAUGAGUGUGUCUCGUUAUCAGACUCAACUACACAAUAGUGCACAACGUGGUGAACAGGGAGGAGGAGGAGUAGGAGGAGGAGGAGGUGGUGGUGGUGGUGGUUUGGGGAAAAUGAAGAUAAAAAC